UACGUAGGGGGCAAGCGUUAUCCGGAUUUACUGGGUGUAAAGGGAGCGCAGACGGCAGUGCAAGUCUGAUGUGAAAGCCCUGGGCUCAACCCCGGAACUGCAUUGGAAACUGUGCAGCUUGAGUGUCGGAGAGGUAAGCGGAAUUCCUAGUGUAGCGGUGAAAUGCGUAGAUAUUAGGAGGAACACCGGUGGCGAAGGCGGCUUACUGGACGAUUACUGACGUUGAGGCUCGAAAGCGUGGGGAGCAAACAGGAUUAGAUACCCUGGUA
rnacentral:rRNA from 1 species